UGCAUGUUACAUUUUAAUUUUUUUUUUCUCAUGCCAAGAAAUACAAAGAAAGUAUAUAAGAUAUACCAUACCAUCCUGCAGAAAAAGAAACAUUUGUCAGCCAAGAGAAGCACCCAGCUGCAAUUCCUGCUGUGUUCAUGCUGUGUGUGAGCUGUGGCUCUCCCGGGGGGGGAUGGACCUUGCACUUCCAUGCCAAGGAUCAAGUCCUGGCACCUCCUAAGGGCUCCCAGGUGGUAUCAGGGCUGCCUUGGUGAAUCCUGCACACGUUCCCUUUUUGAUGUUUCUUAUCCUGGAUGUGUAUUUACAGGUUGGGGUUUUGCUACCUACUGGUGUAAAUGCUUUACAAACAUUCCCACUUUGAAAAGGCUGCUCUGCCCCCCACACCCCCCUGGAUUUGUGCCCAGUCCAAACCUAAACCUAACUGGUUUUUGCCAAAAUUAAAGGCUGGAUACUGAAAGGGAAACGAGCUUAAAUCUGAAUAAUUUCAUUUAAAGGGCAACCCUGGCUGUUGUUCUGUGACGAGUCACAAAGCGACAGGGCAAGGGUGGGGCCAGCCCAGCGGUGCCUUUCUGCAGCCUCUCCCUGGGCUCGGAAUGGGCAGAAAUGCAGAUUCCAUUCUCUAGAAAAGGCAGGAUCUGCUCUCUUUAGCCUACAUGGAGAAAUGUGGGGGUCAGACCUCCCUGCCCCCUUCCAGCAGAGCCCAGAGAUGAGAUCUCAUUGCAGCAGGACCUGUCUGGGGGAAAGGAGGGACAGAGGGAGGGGGAAGAGCUGAGGGACUCAGGGGAGCUCUGGGGGUGGGAUGCUGAGGGGACAGCGUGGUAAAACCAGCAAAGAGCAGAGGAGGGAACUGGAACAGGGUGAAACACCAGCCAGAAAAAGCAAACCCAUCCCUAACACAGCAAACUUUGAAGCCCUUUGGUGCCUUUCUUUCCCUGCUGGUGCUGCUGUGACCCCACUGACUCAGGCAGACCUUUCCUGCCCCUGGGUCACUGCAUCCCACCAGGGGCUGCUACAAAACCAAGUUUGUUGCUGGUUCAGCUUAAAGCUUCAAUCCAGCAGCCAGCAGCCCUUCUGUGCCACCCCACAGAGCCCAGCUCUGCCCCAAAUCCUGGCAAAGAAGGCCAGGGACAGCAGUGCCAGGGAGAGGAAAGGGCUCAUGGCACAGCUUUUGUGGUUGCCCUCCUGUCUGCUAAAAGCUGAGUUAAGGAGAGUUCCCUGGGGGUGGCUGAGCCUGGUGGCCUCAGGGUGAAGUUCUGCCAUCAUCAACCUCACUGUGACCCUGCUCAGGUGAGGGCUGGGGGCUCUGCAGCCUCCUCCUGCACAAAUAUGAGCAAAUUCCACCCAAAAAGAGCCACAGAGGGAGCUGAGCUGGGAUAAAACCGUGGGGGAUGGGGAGAGCAAAGUGGCAAAAGCUUUGCAGAACAGGCUGCAAAAUGUGUGGAGAAAUUGAUGGGGGAGAAGGGACUUGGUGGGUGUCCCUGGAGAGUUUAUUCCUCCAGCAUUGGAGGGGCAGGUUACAAGCACAGUAAAUAUUUUGUCAGGGGUAACUGUAGAGGGUUUCCUCUGGAGUGAAAUGCAGGAUAAGAAGAAAAAAAAAAAAAAAAAAAAAGCUGAGUUUAAGGGUACAAUUGUAUCUCUUCAGGAAGAUUUUAGAAUGAAAAGGAUUCAAGUGACUUAGUCCUUCUCUUUUGCUGUACUUAAUAGUGAGGGGAGAAGCAUCGCCCAAGCUGUCCAAUGAGACAGGAGGCACAAACAAAUCACCACCCUGGGGUUUUUGGGGAAAUCUUCUGCCUUCUCCUGCACCCAGGGGUGUCCUGGUACCUCCACUGCUCUGCUGGCCUGGCCUGGCAGCUCUCCUGGCAAGGAGCACUGCAGCUGCCUCACAAAGCCCCUCCUUCCCCUGCCUGCAGGAAUCCCAUUUGGAGCCACAGUGGGGCACAGUUUGUCCAGAUCCCACUGAAAAAAACCCCAGAUUCCAAGGAAAUCUGUGCUCAUAGAUGGUUCUGUUAAGGAGGAGGAAGAAAAGGGGGUUGGUUUGGGAGCUGCUCAGUGCCUGAGCAUUUGCCAUCCCUGCAAUUAGAGCAGUAAUGUGAACCCACCUCAUGGGGGGUGGCAGGGUUAAAUCCUUUGGAUGCAGAGAAGCACUUUAGAUGAAAGGCUUUAUAUAAUGAUAAAAGAGCAUUUAAAUCCUUACUUAAUAAACGCUCAGUGCUCUCAAGUCCUAUAACUCCCUCCAGCACUUUUCCCUGAAAAAAGGACCCUUCCUGCUCAAGGAGGAGCUUCCUGGGCUCUUCCCAUCAGCUGAAUUCCAGCAGCUCCAAGGGCAAAGGGCAGGAGAUGCAGGGACAGGCAGCACUGCCCUUAUGUAGCUCCAAAAAUCCCCCCAUGUAUCCCCCAGCAAGCAGCUCUUGAGUCCAAGAGUUAAAGAAGGAAACAUUUGGGGGAUUUGAUGGGAUUUCAAUAGUCAUAAGAUGAGUUUGAACAUCCAAGGGAGGGGUUCUGAAGGGCUCAGGAGGAAAAGAUGCAGUUCCUGGAUGGAGGAUGGAGGAGGGAGCUCCCACCCAGCAAUGCUCAGCAGCCCCUGUUUGCUGAACUCACAAAAGAUAAAUUGCAGAAGAAAAGUGGCAGAUUUGGUCCAUUUUAGGUGCCAGCAGUUUGUGAUGGAGUGCUGGCAAAGGGGUGGAUGGGAAUGGAGCCCGAGAAAGUGCUGUAGUGAUGUGCUAUUGCUGUGAGCCCCUGGCAUCCCUUUUAGAGGAGAGAAAAACGUUGACAGCGUGUCUGGGGGAUUUGGCUUUCUCACCCCCUGGAUUCAAACAACAUCUAGAGGAAAAAACCACUUGGAAGAGGAGCAAUCAAAAAGGUGACAGGAGAAUUUUCACAGAGAUGCCCGUGGCUUUGCACAUUAGCUACUACAGAGUAACUACAGCGUGGAUUUACACUUCACCCCUACCCAGCAGCCCAGGGAAGGAGUCAGUGCCAAGCAGUUACCGCGUUGUGAGGUUUCUUUUAGUGGAUUCUCCAUGUAGACAAGCCCUGGGAAGCACUGAAUUUGCUCUAAAUGUGGGGUGUUUUUCAGGAGAUUGCUGUUAGGGAGCAGAAGUGCCCUGCAGGACAACAUUUCUCAGCCAGUCCCUGUUUUUAUGUCGCAGGUUGUCAGCUGGAGGCAACAGAAAGGUCGGGCAGUGCAGCUCUUGGUCGUGUGUCCCCAAAGUUUGGAUCAAAGAGACUCAGGGAGCCAAAGGACGUGGCCAGAAGUCACAAAGCCUGGCUGAAACAACAGGCAAUGGAGCUUUGCAUAGUCUGGGUGGGUGGGGAGAGGGCCAAGCCCAGGAAAUCCCCACAGCAAUGAGGGGAGAGCAGGGAGGAGAAGGGCUGGGGCUGGAUGGAGCAUGUGGGGAUUUGGUCCCACAGGGAUGGGCUGAGG
rnacentral:lncRNA from 1 species